AGGCAGGGAGCCUGCCUUAGCCCUGCUGCACCACGGGGCUGCCAAUCCUGCAGGCUGGAUUGAAAGCCCUGAUGGGCCGGAUCUGGUCCACGGGCAGUAAUUUGCCCUCCAGUGUACUACAAUAUAAAUGUUGAAAAAUAAUCAGCUUUCAUCUCCAGAAGCAGAUGCAAAAAUGUAAUAUCCAUGAAUGACCUGACAGGGACAGCAAAGGACACAAUUUAACCAAUGUAAUGUAGUUUACCAUUGGCCAUUGUAAAAAGCAAACUCCUUUUAAGAUGAUGUAUUUCCUUUGUUCCUAUCAUCUCUGUUAAGUAGGAAAUGUCUAGUAUCUUUUAUUCUAAUAGAUGAUUCAUUUAACACUUUCUGAGACAAUUAGGGGUAAUUAUUUCUUCCCACUCAGUUUUCCUUCUUAAUUGAUUCCUUAAAUUCAGUUCCAAAUAGUGAUGGUUUAAUGGACUGCUGUUUUAUGUGGUUUUUCUCUGUAUUGACUUGAAAGCAUUUCUAAUUGCUUUAGUUUCCUGUUCCUUGGAUAAUCAUGUGGUUGUGAUUCUGAAUUCUAAAUAGCACUUAAAAACAUUUUGGCAAAAAAAACCCAAAUCUCAUGUUAUAAUUUGGAGGCGUAACAUCAAUAGAUGAGAAAUGCAGUUACCUUUUCAGAAGGAACUAUUUCAGUUAAAUCUAGUGAUGGGACAAUUUACUGAUUUUGAAAAUCAAAGCCCUGGAACCAGUUUCAAAUAUAUCUUGUGUACCAGAUGUAUUAAACUUAUGGAGAAACUAAAGGGGUAAAUGCUUCUUAUUUGUUUGAUGGAAUUGGAGCACUUAAACUUGAUUACAUUAGUAUGUAAUUACAUGUUGAUAUAAAGAAUUAAGGCCUAUUCAUGAUUAAUUUUGUAACAUGACCAUGCUUUUGUAAGAAAAAAUAAUUGUUUCUUAAAGAAAAUACAUGUUUGUAACCAUUUGUUUUCUUCUGAAAGGAACAGUUUUAAUCUACAACUCAGCAUAAAAAUCCUGAGAAGGUUGAGAAGAUCUACAAAACUGCUUAGCUCUAUUGAGGUGGAAUGCCAGCACUCUUCUGGCAUUCAGGGUGUGCAAAUGUCCCCCUUCUCUGUUCGAGUGUGGCUUCGGAAAGAAUGAAGGUACAAUAAGUAUUCUAGACUGUGCAGGAUCAAGGAACAGGAUAGCAAAACACCAGAAUGGCAUGACCAGAUGAAAAAAACAUCUCCAUUUAGAAAGACUUCCCUGUGGGUAAUAAGGAAGAAUGAAACAAACCAGAGUCCCUGCAUGGAAUCUUUCUAAACUGGACAAGAGGCAGAUACAAGGAGAUAAGAGA